AGAGUCGAUGCCCCCUCUUGAAUUUACAAAGUCCUAUAUAUAUAGGCAAAGGAUUGAGGGUAAUAAUUAGAGUGCGGGUGCUCAUUGGGCCCCAUCAUCUACCCAAAUUAUUCCUUCUUAUCUCUUUGCUGACUCACUAGGACACGUUACAUCUUUACAUAUAAUUUUGCCUACUAUUUACAAGAUUUUUCUUGAAAAAAAUAAAUACUAGCCUAACAAGAGAAAGACUUUUCUAGCCUAACAAGACUAGCCUAAAAAUACUACACUUUUCUUGAAAUAAAUACU
rnacentral:lncRNA from 1 species